rnacentral:rRNA from 1 species
GACGAACGCUGGCGGCGUGCUUAACACAUGCAAGUCGAACGAAGUGGCGAACGGGUGAGUAACGCGUAAUCAACCUGCUCUUCAGCGGGGUACAACAGUUGAAACCGAUUGCUAAUACGCCAUACUGAAGGGGGGGAUUGCGUGGGCUUAGCUGGUUGGGGGGGUAACGGCCCACCAAGGCGAUGAUCAGUAGCCGGUCUGGUGGGAUGAACGGCCACAUUGGGACUGAGACACGGCCCAGACUCCGACGGGAGGCAGCAGUGGGGAACCUUCCGCAAUGGACGGAAGGCUGACGGAGCAACGCCGCGUGAGUGAUGACGGCCUUCGGGUUGUAAAGCUCUGUUAAUCGGGACGCGGUACCGGAAGAGAAAGCCACGGCUAACUACGUGCCAGCAGCCGCGGUAAUAC